rnacentral:rRNA from 1 species
CCNGGGAACUGCGUUCUGAACUGGGUGACUAGAGUGUGUCAGAGGGAGGUAGAAUUNCACGUGUAGCAGUGAAAUGCGUAGAGAUGUGGAGGAAUACCGAUGGCGAAGGCAGCCUCCUGGGAUAACACUGACGUUCAUGCCCGAAAGCGUGGGUAGCAAACAGGAUUAGAUACCCUGGUAGUCCACGCCCUAAACGAUGUCGAUUAGCUGUUGGGCAGCAUGACUGCUUAGUAGCGAAGCUAACGCGUGAAAUCGACCGCCUGGGGAGUACGGUCGCAAGAUUAAAACUCAAAGGAAUUGACGGGGACCCGCACAAGCGGUGGAUGAUGUGGAUUAAUUCGAUGCAACGCGAAGAACCUUACCUGGUCUUGACAUGUACGGAACCCUCCAGAGACGGAGGAGUGCCUUCGGGAGCCGUAACACAGGUGCUGCAUGGCUGUCGUCAGCUCGUGUCGUGAGAUGUUGGGUUAAGUCCCGCAACGAGCGCAACCCUUGUCAUUAGUUGCCAUCAUUAAGUUGGGCACUCUAAUGAGACUGCCGGUGACAAGCCGGAGGAAGGUGGGGAUGACGUCAAGUCCUCAUGGCCCUUAUGACCAGGGCUUCACACGUCAUACAAUGGUCGGUACAGAGGGUAGCCAAGCCGCGAGGCGGAGCCAAUCUCACAAAACCGAUCGUAGUCCGGAUUGCACUCUGCAACUCGAGUGCAUGAAGUCGGAAUCGCUAGUAAUCGCAGGUCAGCAUACUGCGGUGAAUACGUUCCCGGGUCUUGUACACACCGCCCGUCACACCAUGGGAGUGGGGGAUACCAGAAGUAGG